GCAGUUACCUGGCAGAGGCGUUACCACGGCCAAGUGGGUGCUUUUCCUAGGGUGAGGCUCAUCCAUGGCACUCAGGGUGUGCUUACCCUGCGAUUUCCCCACAUUGGGGAGGGGGACGGGAUGGAGUGUUUUUGUGCUUUACUCUAAAAAGAAAAA
rnacentral:snRNA from 1 species